UACCUGGUUGAUCCUGCCAGUAGUCAUAUGCUUGUCUCAAAGAUUAAGCCAUGCAAGUCUAAGUACGAGCUCUCGUACAGUGAAACUGCGAAUGGCUCAUUAAAUCAGUUAUGGUUCAUUUGAUCGUACAGUUUACUUGGAUAACUGUGGUAAUUCUAGAGCUAAUACAUGCGAGAAGCGCCGACCUCGCGGGAGGCGUGCAUUUAUCAGACCAAAAACCGGCCGCGUCUUCGGGCGCGUUCGCCUUGGUGACUCUGGAUAACUUUGCGGAUCGCACGGUCUAGCACCGGCGACGGAUCAUUCAAGUGUCUGCCCUAUCAACUUUCGUCGGUACGGUAUUUGCCUACCGAGGUUCUUACGGGUGACGGGGAAUCAGGGUUCGAUUCCGGAGAGGGAGCCUGAGAAACGGCUACCACAUCCAAGGAAGGCAGCAGGCGCGCAAAUUACCCAUUCCCGACGCGGGGAGGUAACGACGAAAAAUAACAAUGCAGGACUCGUUCGAGGCCCUGUAAUUGGAAUGAGUACACUUUAAAAGCUUUAACGAGUAUCCAUUGUAUCGCCCAUCUUCGCGCCAGUUGCCCCGGCUAAUUUCCCGCUCCAAAAGGAUAUAUCUCAAACCCGGCGCCCGUCCCACUUUUUUCCCCUUUGGGU
rnacentral:ncRNA from 1 species